GAUGAACGCUAGCGGCAGGCUUAAUACAUGCAAGUCGAGGGGCAGCACGGUUAGCAAUAACUGGUGGCGACCGGCGCACGGGUGCGUAACACGUAUACAAUCUACCUUAAACAGGGGGAUAGCCUUUCGAAAGAGAGAUUAAUACCCCGUAAUAAAUUGAACGGCAUCGUUUGAUUUUGAAAGCUCCGGCGGUUUGAGAUGAGUAUGCGUCUGAUUAGCUAGUUGGUGAGGUAACGGCUCACCAAGGCGACGAUCAGUAGGGGAUCUGAGAGGACUAACCCCCCACACUGGUACUGAGACACGGACCAGACUCCUACGGGAGGCAGCAGUAAGGAAUAUUGGUCAAUGGAGGCAACUCUGAACCAGCCAUGCCGCGUGCAGGAUGACGGCCUAUGGGUUGUAAACUGCUUUUAUAUAAGAGAAAACCCUGGUACGUGUACCAGGUUGAUAGUAUUGUAAGAAUAAGCAUCGGCUAACUUCGUGCCAGCAGCCGCGGUAAU
rnacentral:rRNA from 1 species